AUCAACUGGAAUCAUCUCUCACUGUUAGGUAUGAACAAACUGUCAAAGCUUACUGAUUUCUAUAGACAAAGAGCUAAGAAAAAGUUUGCCACCCAAGGGGAUAGGAAUACAAAAUUCUUUCACCAUGCGGUCCUUAAAAGAAGGAAAAGGAAUACUAUUAUUUCCAUAAAUGAUGAGAAUGAUCAUAUCCAUUUCAAACCUCGGGCCAUUGCAAAUACGUUUGUUAACUAUUUCCGAUAUGUAGGCAGGCCUUUUCUUGCUUCCAGUCUUUCCCUUGACUGUCAGGACUACACCUACAGCAUUCUAGACAAGGAGGAAAUUUUCAGCACUCUUAAGGACAUGAAGCUAAAUGCAUCUCCUAGGCCUGAUGGUUUCAAUGUCGAAUUCUACAUUGCCACUUGGAGCUGGAUUGGUGACGAUGUUACUGCUAUGGUGAGAAACUUUUACCAAACAGGUAUUAUGCCUUUACAUAUUAGCGAUACUUAUAUUGUUCUUAUUCCUAAGAAAUUGGUUUCUCAAAUCCCUUCCGAUUAUCGACCAAUUAGCCUUUGUAAUGUCAUUUACAAGAUCAUUUCCAAAACUUUGCCUAAUAGACUCAAGCCUCACCUUCCUGACUAUAUUGAUCCUUCUUAA
rnacentral:rRNA from 1 species